rnacentral:lncRNA from 1 species
UUUAUCAAAUCCAUUGGACAGAUCCACUAUGCGUCGAUUGAGGGAACAAAAUAACAUCGAGAAAGGAUUCCGUUCAAACAAUUUUCUAGACAGGACUCGAAGGGAAAGACAAAUACUAGGAAAACUGCCCCGUUCUGAUGUGGUUGUCGUCAUUCAGUCCUUGCAAAAUCCUCCUAGUCGACUAUUAUCUUUUUAUUUUUGCACACGAUUUGUAUAAUUCAUGGAUUUACUAAUAAGACUCCAACCCAGGUCGUAGUACAUAACAGCGGAGAGCUAGCUAGUCGCUCGUAAAAAUAUGCAUGACGCCUCUUGCGGAACUUUUUGUUGCGAUUGUGUUUGAGGUUAUACGGACACUCGAACCCCAUCUCCUAAUUAAUAUCUAGAGGAUUUUUAGGACUCUAAGGGAGCGAUGGUAGCAAGUCGGUUUUAAUAUUUUCACGAUCUCCUAAAGAAGAAAUACUCUCGGCCAUUGAACAACCUACCCAAAAUAAACAAGGCUAUAUUUAUCAAAUCCAUUGGACAGAUCCACUAUAUGUGGCAUGCGAAGCGCAUCGAUUGAGGGAACAAAAUAACAUCGAGAAAGGAUUUCGUUCAAACGCUUUCUAGACUGACUCGAAGGGAAAGACAAAUACUAGGAAAACCGCCUCGUUCUGAUGUGGCUGUCGUCCUUCAGUCCUUGCAAAAUCCUCCUAGUCCACUAUUACCUUUUUUAUUUUUGCACACGAUUUGUAUAAUUCAUGGAUUUACUAAUAAGACUCCAACCUAG